AGAGUUUGAUCCUGGCUCAGAACGAACGCUGGCGGCGUGCCUCAUACAUGCAAGUCGAACGAGAAAGUGAUUUUCGAAUCGCGAGUAAAGUGGCGAACGGGUGAGUAACGCGUGGGUAAUCUGCCCUCGAGUGGGGAAUAACAUUCCUAACGGGAUGCUAAUACCGCAUAACACCACCGUAUCGCAUGGUACGGUGGUCAAAGGUGGCCUCUACUUGUAAGCUGUCGCUUGAGGAUGAGCCCGCGUUUCAUUAGCUUGUUGGUGAGGUAACGGCUCACCAAGGCAUCGAUGAAUAGCCGGCCUGAGAGGGUGUCCGGCCACACUGGGACUGAGAUACGGCCCAGACUCCUACGGGAGGCAGCAGUAGGGAAUUUUGCGCAAUGGGGGAAACCCUGACGCAGCAACGCCGCGUGGGUGAUGAAGCUCCUUGGAGUGUAAAACCCUGUCAGGAGGGAAGAAGCUAUCAUCGGGAUAACACCUCGAUGACGUGACGGUACCUCCAGAGGAAGCUCCGGCUAACUCCGUGCCAGCAGCCGCGGUAACACGGGGGGAGCAAGCGUUGUUCGGAAUUACUGGGCGUAAAGGGCGUGUAGGCGGACUCGGUAGUCAGGCGUGAAAACUCAUGGCUUAACCAUGAGCCGGCGUCUGAAACUCCUUGUCUUGAGUACAGAAGAGGAGAGUGGAAUUCCUGGUGUAGCGGUGAAAUGCGUAGAUAUCAGGAAGAACACCGGUGGCGAAGGCGACUCUCUGGUCUGAUACUGACGCUGAGGCGCGAAAGCGUGGGGAGCAAACAGGAUUAGAUACCCUGGUAGUCCACGCCGUAAACGAUGGGCACUAGGUGUUGGGGGUAUCGAUCCCUCCAGUGCCGAAGUUAACGCAUUAAGUGCCCCGCCUGGGGAGUACGAUCGCAAGAUUGAAACUCAAAGGAAUUGACGGGGGCCCGCACAAGCGGUGGAGCAUGUGGUUUAAUUCGACGCAACGCGAAGAACCUUACCGGGGUUUGACAUAUACCUGAAAGCUGUCGAAAUACAGCCUUCCUUUUGGACAGGUAUACAGGUGCUGCAUGGCUGUCGUCAGCUCGUGUCGUGAGAUGUUGGGUUAAGUCCCGCAACGAGCGCAACCCUUGUCCUUAGUUGCCAUCAGGUAAUGCUGGGAACUCUAAGGAGACUGCCGGUGAUAAGCCGGAGGAAGGUGGGGAUGACGUCAAGUCCUCAUGGCCCUUACGCCCCGGGCUACACACGUGCUACAAUGGCUGGUACAGUGGGUUGCAAUGCCGCGAGGUGGAGCCAAUCCGCAAAGCCAGUCUCAGUUCGGAUCGCAGUCUGCAACUCGACUGCGUGAAGUCGGAAUCGCUAGUAAUCGCGGAUCAGCAAGCCGCGGUGAAUACGUUCCCGGGCCUUGUACACACCGCCCGUCAAACCACGAAAGUCGGCAGUACCCGAAGUCCGUGAGCCAACCUCGUGAGGCAGCGGCCGAAGGUGGGACUGAUGACUGGGGUGAAGUCGUAACAAGGUAACC
rnacentral:rRNA from 1 species